rnacentral:rRNA from 1 species
CCUACGGUGCGCAGUAGUCGAGAAUCAUUCACAAUGGGGGAAACCCUGAUGGUGCGACGCCGCGUGGGGGAAUGAAGGUCUUCGGAUUGUAAACCCCUGUCAUGUGGGAGCAAAUUAAAAAGAUAGUACCACAAGAGGAAGAGACGGCUAACUCUGUGCCAGCAGCCGCGGUAAUACAGAGGUCUCAAGCGUUGUUCGGAAUCACUGGGCGUAAAGCGUGCGUAGGCUGUUUCGUAAGUCGUGUGUGAAAGGCGCGGGCUCAACCCGCGGACGGCACAUGAUACUGCGAGACUAGAGUAAUGGAGGGGGAACCGGAAUUCUCGGUGUAGCAGUGAAAUGCGUAGAUAUCGAGAGGAACACUCGUGGCGAAGGCGGGUUCCUGGACAUUAACUGACGCUGAGGCACGAAGGCCAGGGGAGCGAAAGGGAUUAGAUACCCUAGUAGUC